GACGAACGCUGGCGGCGUGCCUAAUACAUGCAAGUCGAGCGAGACUCUUCGGAGUCUAGCGGCGGACGGGUGAGUAACACGUGGGCAACCUGCCUGUAAGACUGGGAUAACACCGGGAAACCGGUGCUAAUACCGGAUAAUCCUUUUUCUCUCAUGAGGGAAAGCUGAAAGUCGGUUUCGGCUGACACUUACAGAUGGGCCCGCGGCGCAUUAGCUAGUUGGUGAGGUAACGGCUCACCAAGGCGACGAUGCGUAGCCGACCUGAGAGGGUGAUCGGCCACACUGGGACUGAGACACGGCCCAGACUCCUACGGGAGGCAGCAGGAGGGAAUCUUCCACAAUGGACGAAAGUCUGAUGGAGCAACGCCGCGUGAGCGAUGAGGGCCUUCGGGUCGUAAAGCUCUGUUGUUAGGGAAGAACAAGUACCGGAGUAACUGCCGGUACCUUGACGGUACCUAACCAGAAAGCCACGGCUAACUACGUGCCAGCCGCCGCAGUAAAAC
rnacentral:rRNA from 1 species